rnacentral:rRNA from 1 species
AUUGAACGCUGGCGGCAUGCCUUACACAUGCAAGUCGAACGGUAACAGGUCUUCGGAUGCUGACGAGUGGCGAACGGGUGAGUAAUGCAUCGGAACGUGCCCAGUCGUGGGGGAUAACUGCUCGAAAGAGCAGCUAAUACCGCAUACGACCUGAGGGUGAAAGCGGGGGACCGUAAGGCCUCGCGCGAGUGGAGCGGCCGAUGUCAGAUUAGCUAGUUGGUGGGGUAAAGGCCCACCAAGGCGACGAUCUGUAGCUGGUCUGAGAGGACGACCAGCCACACUGGAACUGAGACACGGUCCAGACUCCUACGGGAGGCAGCAGUGGGGAAUUUUGGACAAUGGGCGCAAGCCUGAUCCAGCAAUGCCGCGUGCAGGAUGAAGGCCUUCGGGUUGUAAACUGCUUUUGUCAGGGAAGAAAUCCUCUGGGUAAUACCCCGGGGGGAUGACGGUACCUGAAGAAUAAGCACCGGCUAACUACGUGCCAGCCGCCGCGGUAAUAC